rnacentral:rRNA from 1 species
CCUACGGGCUGCACCAGUGGGGAAUAUUGGACAAUGGGCGCAAGCCUGAUCCAGCCAUGCCGCGUGUGUGAAGAAGGCCUUUUGGUUGUAAAGCACUUUAAGCGAGGAGGAGGCUACCUAGAUUAAUACUCUAGGAUAGUGGACGUUACUCGCAGAAUAAGCACCGGCUAACUCUGUGCCAGCAGCCGCGGUAAUACAGAGGGUGCGAGCGUUAAUCGGAUUUACUGGGCGUAAAGCGUGCGUAGGCGGCUUUUUAAGUCGGAUGUGAAAUCCCCGAGCUUAACUUGGGAAUUGCAUUCGAUACUGGGAAGCUAGAGUAUGGGAGAGGAUGGUAGAAUUCCAGGUGUAGCGGUGAAAUGCGUAGAGAUCUGGAGGAAUACCGAUGGCGAAGGCAGCCAUCUGGCCUAAUACUGACGCUGAGGUACGAAAGCAAGGGGAGCAAACAGGAUUAGAUACCCGUGUAGUC